rnacentral:sRNA from 1 species
GGGCUGGUCGUGAUACCCAGGUCCAUCUACGGCGGGGAAGUUCCCC